rnacentral:rRNA from 1 species
AUACAUGCAAGUCGAGCGAACAGACGAGGAGCUUGCUCCUCUGACGUUAGCGGCGGACGGGUGAGUAACACGUGGAUAACCUACCUAUAAGACUGGGAUAACUUCGGGAAACCGGAGCUAAUACCGGAUAAUAUAUUGAACCGCAUGGUUCAAUAGUGAAAGACGGUUUUGCUGUCACUUAUAGAUGGAUCCGCGCCGCAUUAGCUAGUUGGUAAGGUAACGGCUUACCAAGGCAACGAUGCGUAGCCGACCUGAGAGGGUGAUCGGCCACACUGGAACUGAGACACGGUCCAGACUCCUACGGGAGGCAGCAGUAGGGAAUCUUCCGCAAUGGGCGAAAGCCUGACGGAGCAACGCCGCGUGAGUGAUGAAGGUCUUCGGAUCGUAAAACUCUGUUAUUAGGGAAGAACAAAUGUGUAAGUAACUAUGCACGUCUUGACGGUACCUAAUCAGAAAGCCACGGCUAACUACGUGCCAGCAGCCGCGGUAAUACGUAGGUGGCAAGCGUUAUCCGGAAUUAUUGGGCGUAAAGCGCGCGUAGGCGGUUUUUUAAGUCUGAUGUGAAAGCCCACGGCUCAACCGUGGAGGGUCAUUGGAAACUGGAAAACUUGAGUGCAGAAGAGGAAAGUGGAAUUCCAUGUGUAGCGGUGAAAUGCGCAGAGAUAUGGAGGAACACCAGUGGCGAAGGCGACUUUCUGGUCUGUAACUGACGCUGAUGUGCGAAAGCGUGGGG